UUGCUCACUUUGGCAGCACAUAUAUUAAAACUGGAACGAUACAGAGAAGAUUAGCAUAGCCCUUGUGCAAGGAUGACAUGCAAAUUCAUGAAGCAUUCCAUAAUUAA
rnacentral:snRNA from 1 species